rnacentral:lncRNA from 1 species
CGUGGUUCAAAACUCGCGUGCCUGUUCAAUUCAACUCAAUGAACAUGUCCUCAAUCAACUAUUAAGACUACAGUGACAUUUAUUUUUACUAAUAUCCUAAUAUGUUCAAACUAUAGCUUUUAGAACAGGUCCACAUUUCUAUACAAGCGAUGGAAACCUGGAAUGAAUCAGUCAUGACCUGCUAUAGUAGUCUAGAUCUAACUAUUACAUACAACAAUCAAAUGGCUUACAAUAAACUCAAAACACUUAACUAGACUCGAAACAGUCCAGUCCAAGUUAUACAGUCCAAUUUUAUGUGUGUACAAACCAAAAUAAAACUACAUUAACCUAUUACAUAUCAUUUAAGGUUCAUUUGACCAUUUAACAUCGCAAUCCAAACAAGUACAGUUCAAGGAGCAGGUGUAGGACACUUUUCAUUUCAUUUUCACUCAAAAGCUACACCAAGUGAAGUUCAUAUAUGUACCUGGAAUUACAAUGAAACAAAGGAAGAGGUCAGCAGUGACAAUAUAGCAGUCGAAACUCAAUAGUAAAACCACAGCAGCAGGACUAAUUUGGAAGCCAAACUUGCAUCAACCUAACAUAAACCAAACAUAGCCUUUGAUUGAACCCAAAUACACUCGAAAUUGAAACCAUUAAACUUCUAAAGUAUUAACACCUCAAACACAUGUUUAGAUCAUUCUCAUCUUAUUUAGCCUAGAUAUUCAAAUUGACAGCUAGAAAUUGAAACUAAUAUGAGGGAAAAACUUGAAUAACACAGUAUUUAUGGGAAUAUUUUGAAGCUUUUGGGUCUAAAAGAGCUUUCCAACUCUAAAUUGCAGAUCUAGCUUUUGGAGCUUAAAAUUCAAACUUUCAGAGAUUUUCAUAACUCUAAACCUCUGGGAAUCUGGAAAUUUUAGGAAAGCUUAAAGGAUUUUUCAGACUUUUUGGGAGUUUUUAGGGGUCAAAAGCUUGGGAAUUUUCCGGAAUUUCUAACUUUUGGAAUCUUUCAGAAUCUGGAAUUUUUUGGGUUUUUCUCAAGAUUUUUCAUACUUCCAAAACUUGUGGAAGAAUGCAAUGGUUUGCUCUUUUUAUAUGCUAAACUUAUGGCAACUCUUUCUAUUUUGUUUUACCCAUUAGUCCCUCCCUUAUUUUUCAGAUUUACUCAAUUAGUCCUUUUAACCCUGACUUGUGCCUCAAGUUAUAUCCAUAAAAGCCUGAAAUUCAAAUUUGAACCCUAUUCUAAAAUGUUCUAGAUUCAACUACAACAUUGUGUUCUAUUUAGGAAUACCUACACUACCCCUUAUUCAAUUUGACAUUUACUAACCUAGUACUCACUACACCCCAACCACUUUUACCUUGGUUUAAAUUAUCAGCUAUAACCAAACAGUCAUAACAUCUGAAUUAAUGGACUCAAAUAACUCUAAUUAGGAACAGAAUUAACAAACUACAGUUCAAAUCGGCAAGUACUACUAGUAAGUCUAAAAUUCCACAUAAGAAUUAGUUAAAUGCCAUUGAAUCAUGAAUCAGAACUAACUUAACAUAAACACAAUCAUCUUAAAACCCUAAAUUAAUCCUAAAACGUGCCAGAAUUUCAAAUUUAAAAUGAAACAAAUCAGAACAAGACUAAACUAAAAAUCAAAACAAGCAUGGAAUAAAAGAACAUUAAUUAUAAAAACACAAUUAAGCUUACAAAAAGGAAACAGAACUCAUGAUAAUCAGGAAAAGAAGAAAAGAAAGGAAGAAAGAUUAAGCAUAAAACUUACAGAUUUAAGACUAGUGUGAUUGCUCUCGAAUUUGGUCCCCAAGUAAUGUUGUGUGUUUGUUCUGUAUAAGAACAAACCCUCAACAUUACUUUUGAACCGAUUUGAACUCCAAUUCUCCAGAGAAAUUUGACAGCUUUGAGAAGACUCCUAGAUCUAAAAUUCGAGGGGCUCAGCUUGGUUAUGAAUGAUUUUGGCUUCGGAUUUGGUAAGAGGGGGUUGAGGAUAGUACAGGGUGUGAAUUUGGUUGGGUUUGGAGGAUUAUAGGGUUGACCACCUUUCUUUGAUUCGAUAUUUGAAUUGCUUGGUUGGGAUUUGAAGGAGGAGGAGUUUGGAUUUGGAAAGGGGAAGGAGAGAGGAGGCCAUGGUGUUUUUUGGGUGGCUAUUGGAGCCAGCGCCGUCGUGGAUGGCAGAACAACCAACCUUUUGAUCGACGAUUUGAGAAGAAGGGUAUUCGAAGGUUGAUACUUGGGGCGUUGGAAAGAGAAGGAGGAGGGGAAUCAGGGGUGUAUUUUUGGAGUUGAUAGGAGAUUGGCCGCAGGCGGUGGACGACGAAAGGACGGUGGCUUUAGGGUGGCGUUACACCGGCGUUAUCAGGGUAUUUUUGGAAAUGGCUUGGGGGUGGGGGGGUGUAUCCGACAUUUAUAUAGCCCAUAACCUCAUUAGUUCUCGUCCGCCAGAUGCAAAAGAAUUGAUGUUGUGAUUGAUCUUGAGAAAAACGAGGUCGUUUUGAUCAUGGGAUGCUCCGGGUAAAAUUUUGGCUGGAUGGGUAUUUGAACGGGUUGGGGGGUUUGGGCUAGGAAGUUGUAUCCGAAACAGGCCCAAUUUCUUUCUUUUUAUUUUUUUUCUUCUUUUUCUCUUUUUAAUUAAUUAAUUCUUCAAAUAUAAAAAUCAGAUUUAAAUUCUAUGAUUAAAAAUAAUUAGUUUCAAAAAAAG